UUUGGUUUUGUUUUAUUUUGUUUUUCAAGAACACAGCUUGCCAUGUGCAGCACCUCAUUGAAUGUAUCUGGAGUCUUAGAAGCCCCACCUAUAUCAUCCUACAAAUGGACCUUGGACAAUCCUUUGGAGUUCUACCAACAACAAGGGAGCUUGGCUACUCAUGUACCCUUGACUAAGAAAUGAUCCCCCUCUAUCUCCUUUGUAUUUUGGGGAAGUCCAUCCUUCCAAGAACACAUGGAGUGGUGACAGAGGAAGGGGACACCCACUGAGCCAUCCAGAUGAGUCAAGUCAACCUAGUCAAUCAUUCUGGCUAUCCCAAGAUGACACCAUGGAAAUGUAUUAAUGCAGCAAAUACUUGUGGUCUUCUUCCCACCUCUUGGACAUUUUAUAAUAACAAGGAGAGAGCCAUGUUGGAGACAGGCCUUGCCCUUUCCCCUUGGUAAGCAUCACAGCAGAUAUACUGGUGUGAUGAAGAGAGGGUGUUAUACUUCUGCAGCACUGAUGGAAGAAUAAGACUUAUCUUACAACUUUUCUUAAGUCCCUGACAACAAAAAGCUCAACAGAGGCAAAGAGGACAAGAAAAUCAAACUAGCCAGGAAUAAAGAAAAGAUAGUAUAUUACUCUCCUAA